rnacentral:rRNA from 1 species
GUGGGGAAUCUUGCACAAUGGGGGCAACCCUGAUGCAGCGACGCCGCGUGAGCGAUGAAGCCCUUCGGGGCGUAAAGCUCUUUCGACCGGAACGAUAAUGACGGUACCUGAGGAGGAAGCCACGGCUAACUACGUGCCAGCAGCCGCGGUAAUACGUAGGUGGCAAGCGUUGUCCGGAUUUACUGGGCGUAAAGGGAGCGUAGGCGGACUUUUAAGUGAGAUGUGAAAUACCCGGGCUCAACCUGGGUGCUGCAUUUCAAACUGGAAGUCUAGAGUGCAGGAGAGGAGAGUGGAAUUCCUAGUGUAGCGGUGAAAUGCGUAGAGAUUAGGAAGAACACCAGUGGCGAAGGCGACUCUCUGAACUGUAACUGACGCUGAGGCUCGAAAGCGUGGGGAGCAAACA